CUUACCUUGUGUCAAAUCAAUGGGGUGGAAUGCACCUUUACACCAAGUGAGGUUAAAGUAGACAGUGGUUUGUUAUGAUGCGUGAAGCAGAAGGAGAUAGCUUUCUACAUACCGAAGAAUGUUCCCAAAAGGUCACCGACACGGCGGAACUGCUCCGGCGGCCGCUCGAGAUAUACGUCAAGGAGGAGCGCGAGUCGGAGUGUGAAGACGAGGAGGCGGAGGCGGUGGUCGGCUGCGACCCCCUGUACGUGAAGCAGGAGCCGG